UUUGCAUACUAUACUUUUAACGUUUACAUGUCAUCUAUGGUAUCUUACUAUGUACUGUUUGUUCAAAAUUGUAUGUGUGUAUUUAUUUUCUAUUUCAGUCGAUUUAAAAACGGCUCACUGACUCAGAGAUAUUUUAUAAAAGAAGAUGUGGUAUGGUUACCAAUGAGACAACCCUUCACAAGAGACCAAAUGACACUGAAAUUAACAGCUUUAUGACACCGUAUGGCCUUCAACACUGAGUAAAGCCCAUACUGACCGCAUAGUCAGCGAUAAAAGACUCCGAAAUCACAAAUGUAAAUAACAUCAAACGAGAAAACUAAUGGCCUAAUUUUAAUGUACAAAAAUGAACGAAAAACAAAUAUGUAACACAGGAACAAACGACAACCACUGAAUUACAGGCUUCCGACUUAAGGCAGGCACAUACAUACAGAAUGUGGCGUGGUUAAAAAUGUUAGCGGGAUCCCGACCCUCCUAACCUGGGACAGUGGUGAAACAGUA
rnacentral:lncRNA from 1 species